rnacentral:rRNA from 1 species
GACGAACGCUGGCGGCGUGCUUAACACAUGCAAGUCGAACGGAAAGGCCCUGCUUUUGUGGGGUGCUCGAGUGGCGAACGGGUGAGUAACACGUGAGUAACCUGCCCUUGACUUUGGGAUAACUUCAGGAAACUGGGGCUAAUACCGGAUAGGAGCUCCUGCUGCAUGGUGGGGGUUGGAAAGUUUCGGCGGUUGGGGAUGGACUCGCGGCUUAUCAGCUUGUUGGUGGGGUAGUGGCUUACCAAGGCUUUGACCGGUAGCCGGCCUGAGAGGGUGACCGGCCACAUUGGGACUGAGAUACGGCCCAGACUCGUACGGGAGGCAGCAGUGGGGAAUAUUGCACAAUGGGAGGAAGCCUGAUGCAGCAACGCCGCGUGCGGGAUGACGGCCUUCGGGUUGUAAACCGAUUUCGCCUGUGACGAAGCGUGAGUGACGGUAAUGGGUAAAGAAGCACCGGCUAACUACGUG